rnacentral:rRNA from 1 species
AGAAUCAACGCUGGCGGCGUGCCUAACACAUGCAAGUCGAACGAGAAAGUGGGAGCAAUCCCAUGAGUAAAGUGGCGCACGGGUGAGUAACACGUGACUAACCUACCCUUGAGUGGGGGAUAACCUAGGGAAACCUGGGCUAAUACCGCAUAAUACCUACGGGUCAAAGGAGCAAUUCGCUUUAGGAGGGGUCGCGGCAGAUUAGUUAGUUGGCGGGGUAAUGGCCCACCAAGACAGUGAUCUGUA